rnacentral:rRNA from 1 species
UGGGGAAUAUUGCACAAUGGACGGAAGUUUGAUGCAGCGACGCCGCGUGGAGGGUGUAGGCCUUCGGGUUGUGAACUCCUUUUUCUCGCGAAAAAGGCACAGUUUUGGCUGUGUUGAUGGUAGUGGGGGAAGAAGCGCCGGCUAACUACGUGCCAGCAGCCGCGGUAAUACGUAGGGCGCGAGCGUUGUCCGGAUUUAUUGGGCGUAAAGAGCUCGUAGGUGGUUCGUCGCGUCUGUCGUGAAAGCCAGCAACUUAACUGUUGGUCUGCGGUGGGUACGGGCGGGCUUGAGUGCGGUAGGGGUGACUGGAAUUCCUGGUGUAGCGGUGGAAUGCGCAGAUAUCAGGAGGAACACCGAUGGCGAAGGCAGGUCACUGGGCCGUUACUGACACUGAGGAGCGAAAGCGUGGGGAGCGAACAGG